rnacentral:rRNA from 1 species
AGCGGCACGCUCAAUUGAAAGCUGCCUUCGGGUCCGCAUUGUAAUUUGUAGAGGAUGCUUUGGGGCACCGCCUGUCUAAGUUCCUUGGAACAGGACGUCAUAGAGGGUGAGAAUCCCGUAUGUGACAGGACAUGGCACCCUAUGUAAAGCUCCUUCGACGAGUCGAGUUGUUUGGGAAUGCAGCUCUAAAUGGGAGGUAAAUUUCUUCUAAAGCUAAAUACCGGCGAGAGACCGAUAGCGCACAAGUAGAGUGAUCGAAAGAUGAAAAGCACUUUGGAAAGAGAGUUAAAAAGCACGUGAAAUUGUUGAAAGGGAAGCGCUUGCAAUCAGACUUGUUUUGACUGUUCGGCCGGUCUUCUGACCGGUUUACUCAGUCUGGACAGGCCAGCAUCAGUUUUGGCGGCCGGAUAAAGGCUCAGGGAAUGUGGCUCUCACUUCGGUGGGAGUGUUAUAGCCCUGGGUGUAAUACGGCCAGCCGGGACUGAGGUCCGCGCUUCGGCUAGGAUGCUGGCGUAAUGGUUGUAAGCGACCCGUCUUGA